rnacentral:lncRNA from 1 species
CUGUCUCUGCAUCCCCUCUCCCAUCACCAAAUGCCACUGACCGUGAAAUGCACACGGGUUAAUCGCUGCCUCUGUUGCCGAGAAGGACCUCAGAGGAGGCCGUCUGAUUCCAGAAAUGCUAGAAUGUGAUCAGUAUGGAGCCAAAACCGAGGGACUAAGGCACAUGGAGGCUGGGUCCUCAGAGGGACCCGCAGGGCUGCCCGGCACAUCCAGCCUCGCCCCUCAGCCCCACUGAGCAACGUGGCCGCCACACCUUCCCGUUGCAGUUUCAGUUCCAAACAGGAGGUCCAACCUGACCCCCAGGGCGCGGCCCGGGCACCUUCGUGUAUCCGUGACACUGUGCGCCUGCACUGAGUCCUGUCUUACACGUGAGGAGCCUGAUUGCGGGGCAGCUGGGAGCACGGGGUUGCUAUGGCAACAUCGAACGCUCUCGCCCCAGUGCUGCCAGGCCUCCCGGGCAGGCGCGCUUGUCUCAGUGUCCCUGAGCCUGGGUGGGAAAGAGGGGGCUUGCAGCUCCGUGAGCGCAGAGUCGAGUCGGGAGGGAGACGGUAUCACGGCAAAACCUAAAAUAUUUUGCAGAAGAGGAACCAGCUUCCGAGAGGUUGUUCACGGCCACACAGUAAGCGGGGGCAGCUGGGACGCAGGUUCUGACCAGAGCUGACCUCAGUCGAGGUCAAGGGUCAGCAAACAAUGGCCCACCUCCCGUUUGUGUAAACAGAGGUUUAUGGGGACACAGCGGAGCUCAUGCAUUGUUACAUUGUGUGGGGCUGCCUGGGGGCUACAGUGCCUGUGUGUCCACGCAUGAGAGUCAGGUGCCAGACCGUGGCUGGAACAAAACCAUGCGCCCAGACCUGGGGUCCCAGCUGCGGCAGGGUGGUCGUUUCCUGGUCCGGGUUAAAAGGGUAAAGGGGAGCCUUCCGCGGGUGUUCACGGUUUUCAUACGCGGAGCUGGGACCUUGGGAGGCGGUUGGAGCGGCUGGGAGAACGCGCGCCCCGCGGGCUGCCAGUUUCCGGCGGAAGGUGCUGCGUUCUCCCCGCUCCGGGCCUUGGCCCGGGCAGGUGCCUCUGCGGACACCUCCUCCACCCCAGCCCUUGUCGCCUCCACAGCUGCUCGCCCCUUCCAGGUCUCAGCCGAAGCUCCUCCGCAAGCCUCCUGGCUCGUCCCGGAGCCGGGUGCCCCGUUUCUCUGCCGAUCUGGAAGAUAGCCGUCCCCCCCGGCCACGCCCUGUGCCUCUUUAGCGCCCUGUCCCUCUGGCCCCUUGUGUCUCCCAGAGACGGCUGCAGCCGCGUCCCCAUCGCACACGUGGCUUCGACACCCUUCCCGUUAACCCGAGCAUCUCCGUCCUCCCCCUCGAGCCCCAGCGGGUGUGGGUGACUGUUUUGGCCUUCGGAGGCCAGAGAAGGGACGCUGUAUGAUUUCCGAAGUUGGGGUCGUGCUCGGGCGGGCUGCUCCCCCCGGUGCUGGCUCUGGCAGCUUUCAGCAGCCGCGCCGGGAGGAAGCCCAAACGGUGCCGCGACGAGAGACCACGCGGGAGGACCCCGGCCGCACUCCCUCCCCCACCAUUGGUCUGCGGCUGCGCUGUCAGCGGAGGCUUCUAGAGACCUUGACCACAGCAGCCGUGGGGGUUGCUCUCGGUUGAACUGUGUCCUCCAGAAAGAUAUGCUGCAGUCCUGCCCGCAGCCCGUCAGAACGCGACCUUCUUCAGAGACGGGGCCUUUACAGAAGGAGUCACGGUGGAGUGGAGUCAUCGGGGUGGAAUCGAAUCCACUCCGCCCAGCGUCCCUGUAAGAAGAUGAAAACUGGACGCAGAGACGCUGGGGCACAGCAGGCAAAGGGGAAGGCAGGCAUCGAGGUGAUGCUUCUGUCGGCCAAGCACUUUGCCGAAGGUCGCCGGCAAACGCCGGAAGGUAGGACAGAGGCCUGGACCAGAUUCUCCAGAAUCCUUGGCGGGAGCCCCCGUCACUGACCCCCAAUCCCAGACCUCUGGCCUCCAGCCCAGAGGCAGUCUCCUUCUGUUGUUUGAGCACAUGGUCCCUUGUUACGGCGGCCCCAGCAAACGGUCCAGGGAGUCCUAACACGGCUGUUGUCUUCACCUGUUGUCUUCACCUGUUUCAGCCAAAGCUGAGUGUGGGGCUGAUGUGUUACACAGCGCGAGCCAGCUGGGCUCUGCCUGUGAACGUCGAAUCUCCUCGAAGGCCGGAGUCCCUGGCAGUGUACAUGCUUGUGAGCACACGGCUGGUGAUGGGCAAUGGGCUGCCAUGGCCCCAGGGGAGUCCCUAGGCAGCCCCUCCCCCCCGCCAGAUUCCAGCCCCUCCUCCAGAGAAUAAAGAGGUGGGCUCUGCAAGCGGAGCUGGGGCUCCCAACUCAACGCCUGGGAACCAGACUGGAACCCCCUGGUGAUGCAUUUCCUGAGAGCCUGCCUGGGAAAACAGGAAGGUUCGUGCCUAUGCGUUUUAUGGGCACCCAGCUUGCGAUUUCGGAGGACAGAGGCCCAGAGGCAAACAAUGCCUGUGAGCUGUUAAAAAGCCGGCGGGAAGGCAUAUGCUUUUGCAUUCAAGUGAGACACACAAUUGCAUGGAUGAGCGAUACCCCAGCUUCACUCCAGACCUUGUCCCACAGCGCAGGGCCCCGGGGAGCAGAGAGCCAGGGCGGAAGCACUGUGGACUCCUAGGAGACCUGGGGUCGUGACAUUCAACCCCCUGCCUCCAGGCACGGAGGGGCCUGCCAUCUCAAACGGAGGGAUUCCUUUCUUAUUUGUAAUUUUUUUCAAAAGUAAAGUGUUAAGGUUGAGAGCAGAUAUUCAAGUUUUAUUGAAAAGUCUCGGAGUUCCCGUCAUGACUCAGUGGUUAAUGAAUCUGACUGGGAACCAUGAGGACGCGGGUUCAAUCCCUGCCCUUGCUCAGUGGGUUAAGGAUCCGGUGUUGCCAUGAGCUGUGUUGUAGGUCGAAGACGCGGCUCAGAUCCUGAGUUGCAGUGGCUGUCUUGUAGGCCGGCAGCUGUAGCUCUGAUUAGACCCCUAGCCUGGGAACUUCCAUGUGCUGCAGGUG